CCCAAAACCAAAAUAUUGAUGUCCAAUACAUCCAACAAAAUUUAAUACAUCCUACGUUUUAAGAAAGCGGGUACUUCAACGUGGACGGCCACGAACUUGAACCGAUUAUACAUACGCCAAAUUAAAUAAACAAGUAAAUAAAUAAAUAAUCAAUUAAUUACUAAAAAAUUCAAAUUUAUCUAACUUGGUCACCAAGUCAAUAAAUCAAUUUAAUUAAAAAAUUCUUAGAUAUUUUCCUCCUCCCACAUCCAAACCGCCCACUCUCCUCACCCCUAAAUCUCUCUCGUAUCAUUAACUACUCUCCCUCAAUAUUAAAUCUUCAAUCCAUUUUCUUCUUCUGAUCGGUUUCCGCAUCAAGAAAAUUCAAGAAACCGAGAGCUCAAUCAAUUGAAUUACAAAAACUGAAUCUGCAAAAUCCAGUUGGCUACUCCUUUCGGUCCUGCAAUUUCACCACCAAUAUCGAGUUAUCGAGUUUUAAAAAAGGUUACCUUCGCAAGUAAAGUCGGAACGAAAGAUUCAAGUUAAAGGAACUAAGAGAUCAAGGUUGAGCAACGAAGUGGUGGAGGAAGUGCUAUUGAGACAAGACAUUUAAUUCAGUCAGAUU